UGGACCUGCAACACGGUAGGAUCCUAUCGUCAGCUGAUAUCUGUCGAAGUGGCUGAAGAAUUGGGAUUAUUGCGGUUAGGAGAUUUAAAUGUAUAAGAAAGAAAUGUUAAUAUAACAGUAUUAUAAUUUAAUAUAAAUCUAAGAAGCUAAGAUAAGUUAAGUUUUUGUUUUUUUUGUUUAACGAUUAAAGAAUGUAUUUAUGUAUCAUCUUUUAACCAGGUGUCGACCAGUGGUGGAAAUUGGUUCGCGUCUUCUUUGUAAAUUAAACAUUUCUUCCUUCAAAUUUGAAUAAUUUUUAAAAGAAAAAUGCAUUAAUAAGUACACAUUCUCUUGUACAAUCACGAACAUAGGUCGUAGAAAUUUUCAUUAUUAAUGAGAGUACAAUGUACCCUAAAAUAUGAGUCUAAAAAUGUUAGAGAUAAAUGUUACGUAUACAAAUAUUUAUAUACGUGAGAUGUAGCUUUCGGGUCAGAAGCAGAAGGUAGACCGAAACAAUAGAUUCUACGCCUGAUCAUUGAAGUCAAGCGUCACUUGCCAGGGUUAACAUUAGAAUGACCGAUCAUAUUUCACGAUGAAGACGAAAUAUAAUUAGGACAGUUCUUCAUCUGUCCACUGCUCUCGUACACAGUUUGGAAAAGAACUGAAUAAGAAACCAAGAUACGAACUGAUUGAAAUAACAAUAAAUAACAUAAAUGGCGGUAAAAGGUUCCAUUGUAUUGUAAAAGAUAGAGGAGUAGAAGACAAUUCAAAUCAUGUUGUUGUUUUGCCUCGGAGUAUCAAGAUCGUUAGGAUACAUGUAACGUAAGAAUAAAUAAGCUGCAGGCAAAACAACGUCACUGCUACGUGCAACCGUCGAACGAAGACGAAUUUGAAUUUUCCGGCUCUCCCCCGACCAGUAUAAAUAAACGGACGCAACCAAAAAGAGUUCAGUAUCGACGAGUUAUCUGAGAGUUAUCAAGAGUUAUCUACCGAGUUAUCGACGAGUAUAGGCUUAUUCACUGUACGAGCGUCUCAGCCAAUAUAGUCUGUAUACUAAUUUAUUAUUUUUAAAUAUAUUCAACGGUUUCAACAACAAACAAUAACAUUUAAUAAAUGUAGUAAAAGGUUCUAUUCUUCAAAAGAUUUCCAACAAAGUACAUGUCCAAGGAAAGGAAUAUUUUCGUGCAAUUACAAAUAGCUGAGACUCGCUUCUGUUAGAAAUGACCAUCGACCUUCGCAUCCCUCUAAACUCUAAAUCGUUCCCUCGAACAAAGGUCUGCCCAACAAACGCUAAGGGUACAUAAAGCAAUCAAAAAUUAGCCUUACAUAACGAUUCAUAAUGGUGUUUCGCGGUCGAAGAGAACAUUGAUUCAACAAGUUUACGCGCCAAUAAAUCUGAGAAAUUAACGAACCGGCGCGGCGGCAUCGUGCGCGCACGCUUAGUGACAAACUUUACGACAACUUUUAUUGUCUAGUCGGUCUUAACUGCUAUUCCCUGGCUAUUCGUGUACAACUCUACCAUAACGAGAGAGGUUCGUUCGGAAGGAGGCCUCACCUCCCGGACGAAAUAAACGUCCGUUCAAGACGAGAGGAAUAGUUGGUCCACGAGGCUGAGUCUUUCUCUUCGUAGACGGUCCUCCUCGCCGUUUAUCGUCGUCCGGCGAAGCUGCUAGAAGUCCUUCACGCACUCUGCACCACUGGUUAUGCGAAGUUAACAGAGACAACUUAAUCGUAAAUCAAACGCGUUAUUGUUGUUAUAUUCCAAAGCGAACUACCAACAUUAUUGGCUGAUGGCUUGAGAUAUUCUUUGGUGAAGGAGAUAAGAAAUUAUUUUUUCCUCUACGCUGAUUAUUUGUUUUUGAAUUAACGCAAUUUUGCGCGUUACUUUCGCUUUCGAUGCAAUUUAUUGGUAGCUGGCUUUAUCAAUGCAAUAAGACUGGAAUAGUUGUAAUCAUCGAAUUCAACACGAAUACAAAGAGUUGACGCGACAGCAACUGGAAUACAAGUUGGGAAAAUAAGCGAAUAAAUUUUCUUGCUCCAGAGUUUCUUUUGUUUUCGAUGCAAUUUAUUGGUCAGAAGCUUGAACAAUCCAAUAAGACGCUGCAACUACAAUAUAUAGGCGUUACCAUGCUUUUCGAAUGCAAGAAGGACGCAAGAGUGGUUCUUCUGGACGUUAAUAACUCGUUAUAAAUAUCGUAAUGGUUGCCACCUUGCAUGCAUGUAUAUGUACACCGAGAAAGCUUUUAUUAAUCUUCUAGGCGGAGCAUCAAGAUACAAUCUAGAAUGAUUAUUAUACGAAACGACUUAUUGUUCCGGAUCAGCUCUUGAAAAAAUACGCAUCCAUCGAAAGAGUAUCAAUUUCUUCUAAACGCUGCACUUGAUCCUAUUUGAUCGAAGGAACUGGAAAAUUGCCAGUUCGGAAUAUGAAGUUUUGAAUGAAGAAUCAUAAUUAGAAGAACGGCUUGCUAUGUGCUUAUACAAAUCUCAACAAUUUACCAAUCCCACCAACCACAGCGGUUAUUAGUAUUCAUGAUUCUAGGCGUGGAAACUAACAAACGGACGAAGAUUAUUACUUUUCAGAUUCUCGACCGUUACCCAGGAUAUUUAAGAUCGAUUAUUUUUAGAAUUGCAGAAGAUGACUAUGAUACGCUAGAACUUCCUUUUCAUUAGUGCAAAUAUUUUCUCGUACGUUGCUAUACUUAUAAAAUGAUGGAUUAUAUCGACGUUUAUAUGAAUUCUAAUUAUAUUUAAUUUUCCUAUUUCGGAUGGAUAGAAUAAUAUAAAUCGUGGGAGACCAUCAGACUGACACACUGUGAAAAACAUGUAAUAAAUUAAAUAGUGCUAAAGAUAGUUGUAUAAAAAUUAUGCUGUAUUUUCUCGAGAUCGCUCAAAAAAUAACAUCUUGAAAUGCUGCCUUAAGGGAGCUUCCGGCGAAACACAAAAAUUUCUAGAACGCUGAAAACGAGCGAUCGAGAAAGCGACAGGGCAGCAGCCAGUUUCUUGUACUACUGCUCAGAAAUGACUGAGGUAACGAACGGUCGGCAGUCUAAUUACUUAAGCGAAGUAGUCUCGUUGUCAGUGGCAGGAAAGAGGCAUUCAGGAACCCACUUCUCGCUCUCUCGACCCUCGUUCCGCUUCUCGACUUCUCUCUGUCUCGCACCAUUGCACGCUUUCCAUUUAAGGAACAACCUCCCCCUCUUCUCAACAGCUGUAGGCGUCUCGAGGGGUAAAACCAAUAACGCUAAGACGUCCUCGAGAGAGUGAGUACAUCCCCGAAAGUACCUCGCAUACCGAGGACGUGCGGCCGCGAACGAACACUAAUUUCCUCUCGACCUAUCCUUGAGUUAGACGUCAGCUACCGACCUGGCUGCGCCUCGCUCUCCUCGUCGCGUCGUUUCUCUUCAACGCUGCCGUCCUUGAUUAACGCCGCGAGUCAUUGUCAGUUCUCGUCACCUGUCGUCGUUGUCGUGUUUCCAGCGGAACGACAGUUUAUCUUGCGACGACGAUUCCCUUUUUUAGGGAAAAUGAGAGUUAUUGAAUCGUUUGUAAGGGAAUAAUAUGAUAGUUUAUAUUGCUGGAAUAUUUUUAUUAUAAUUGUUCAUAGAGUUAAAUAACCGGCAACAGAGAGAGAUGCGCUACUGAACAAAUUUAAAAAACAAUAUAACAUAAUUUUAAAAAAAUUGAAUUGAAUUAAGACAGUCCAAAGAUAAAAUAAGAUAAGAUAUAGACAUUGUUUGGAUUGCAGGUCGAAUGAGGGUAGUAUGAUAGGAUAAGGGAAAAUUAGUCACUGUAUGGCAAUCCGUUACAAUUAAUUUUCAUUACACAUUCACUUGUACAUAAGAUUAUUUUAAGUUUAAAUGUUUUACAAUUUCUAAUUUAGCAUUGCGUGGUACGCAAUUUCAGUCUGCUAACGUGCUUUUACCGUUACAAAACAGAAUUGUUUCUUGAUAAACAAUUCAAUCUAAGAAUUUAUGAAUUGAAGGACAAGCGAGCAUCGUACAAAUCUUGCCUCUGUGUCACCUGAUAGUCAUCUUUCCAAUUACUCAUGCUACAAGAAAUAGCCAUUGAACUCUGCUUCACUUAUUACACUUGUGUCGAAGAAAAAUAUACUAGCAGAUAAAAUGGAUUAUAAUAUAAAUCACAGAAGAAACAAGAUAAGGUUCGUAGGGACGCGUCUUCAACUAUUCGCUUCUUGCUCAGAAUUUUACCGAUGUAAUUCAAUUGACGGAAAAACUCGUCGGAUCGAGAACAAUUAAACCGCUUCAUCAUUGUCCUGUCAUCCAGGCGACGAAGCCGAGAGCGUUUUGUCGCUGAAGGACGACUAGUCGUUUCGUACCAUCAUCCACUCGAUUCCAUCCUCGAAACGCAGCUACACCAAUACAUAUAUCCCUCUGUGUCUCGCCCCUGCCUCUCGCAGAAAGAACAGAGUUUCCCCUGAACCAACGUUCAGCCUUUGCGUAACAAAUCGUAGAAACCGUCGGGAUCGUUCUCUUUCAGUUUUGCUGGUUGGCUCGCUGGUCACGUUGCUUUUAAUUGUAGCUGGUAUCG